UCAGGAAACUUCCACAAUGGGCGAAAGCCUGAUGGAGCGACGUCGCGUGAUGGACGAAGUGCUUCGGCACGUAAACAUCUUUUAUGUGGGAUGAAAUUAUUGACAGUACCACAUGAAUAAGGGGCUCCUAACUCUGUGCCAGCAGGAGCGGUAAUACAGAGGCCCCAAGCGUUAUCCGGAAUCACUGGGCGUAAAGGGUGUCGAGGCGGUUGUAUUAGUCGUUCGUAAAAUCUACGAGCUUAACUUGUAGGCGGCGAACGAAACGGUACGACUUGAGGUUUGGAGAGGUGCGUGGAACUCACGGUGUAGGGGUGAAAUCCGUUGAUAUCGUGGGGAACACCAAAGGCGAAGGCAGCGCACUGGCCAAAAUCUGACGCUCACACACGAAAGCUAGGGUAGCGAAGAGGAUUAGAUACCCAGGUAGUCCCUGAGCGGGCUGGCAAGGCGCAU
rnacentral:rRNA from 1 species